AGAUUCCUACGGGAGGCAGCAGUGGGGAAUUUUCCGCAAUGGGCGAAAGCCUGACGGAGCAAUACCGCGUGAGGGAUGACGGCCUAUGGGUUGUAAACCUCUUUUUUCAGGGAGGAAUAAAAUGACGUGUACCUGAAGAAUAAGCAUCGGCUAACUCCGUGCCAGCAGCCGCGGUAAGGCGGGGGAUGCAAGUGUUAUCCGGAAUCACUGGGCGUAAAGCGUCUGUAGGUGGCCUAGCAAGUCAACUGUUAAAUCUUGAGGCUCAACUUCAAAAUCGCAGUCGAAACUGUUAGACUAGAGUAUAGUAGAGGUAAAGGGAAUUUCCAGUGGAGCGGUGAAAUGCGUAGAGAUUGGAAAGAACACCGAUGGCGAAGGCACUUUACUGGGCUAUUACUAACACUCAGAGACGAAAGCUAGGGUAGCAAAUGGGAUUAGAUACCCCAGUAGUCCUAGCCGUAAACAAUGGAUACUAGAUGUUGAACAGAUCGACCUGUGCAGUAUUAAAGCUAACGCGUUAAGUAUCCCGCCUGGGAAGUAUGCUCGCAAGAGUGAAACUCAAAUGAAUUGACGGG
rnacentral:rRNA from 1 species